rnacentral:rRNA from 1 species
UACGUAGGUGACAAGCGUUGUCCGGAUUUACUGGGCGUAAAGAGCGCGCAGGCGGUCGUUCAAGUCGAGGGGGAAAGCCCCCGGCUCAACUGGGGAGGGUCACUCGAUACUGAUCGACUCGAAGGCAGGAGAGGGAAGUGGAAUUCCCGGUGUAGUGGUGAAAUGCGUAGAUAUCGGGAGGAACACCAGUGGCGAAGGCGACUUCCUGGCCUGUUCUUGACGCUGAGGCGCGAAAGCUAGGGGAGCAAACGGG